GACGAACGCUGGCGGCGUGCCUAAUACACGCAAGUCGAGCGGACUUUCAAGAAGCUUGCUUUUUGAAAGUUAGCGGCGGACGGGUGAGUAACACGUGGGCAACCUGCCUGUAAGACGGGGAUAACUCCGGGAAACCGGGGCUAAUACCGGAUAAUAUCUUUCUUCGCAUGGUUCAAUAGUGAAAGACGGUUUUGCUGUCAUCUAUAGAUGGAUCCGCGCCGCAUUAGCUAGUUGGUAAGGUAACGGCUUACCAAGGCAACGAUGCGUAGCCGACCUGAGAGGGUGAUCGGCCACACUGGAACUGAGACACGGUCCAGACUCCUACGGGAGGCAGCAGUAGGGAAUCUUCCGCAAUGGGCGAAAGCCUGACGGAGCAACGCCGCGUGAGUGAUGAAGGUCUUCGGAUCGUAAAACUCUGUUAUUAGGGAAGAACAAAUGUGUAAGUAACUAUGCACGUCUUGACGGUACCUAAUCAGAAAGCCACGGCUAACUACGUGCCAGCCGCCGCGGUAA
rnacentral:rRNA from 1 species